rnacentral:rRNA from 1 species
UGGCGGACGGGUUAGUAACGCGUGGGAACGUGCCUUUCACUACGGAAUAGUCCCGGGAAACUGGGUUUAAUACCGUAUACGCCCUUCGGGGGAAAGAAUUUCGGUGAAAGAUCGGCCCGCGUUAGAUUAGAUAGUUGGUGGGGUAAUGGCCUACCAAGUCUACGAUCUAUAGCUGGUUUUAGAGGAUGAUCAGCAACACUGGGACUGAGACACGGCCCAGACUCCUACGGGAGGCAGCAGUGGGGAAUCUUGGACAAUGGGCGCAAGCCUGAUCCAGCCAUGCCGCGUGAGUGAUGAAGGCCUUAGGGUCGUAAAGCUCUCUCAACGGUGAAGAUAAUGACGGUAGCCGUAGAAGAAACCCCGGCUAACUCCGUGCCAGCAGCCGCGGUAAUACGGAGGGGGUUAGCGUUGUUCGGAAUUACUGGGCGUAAAGCGCGCGUAGGCGGAUUGGAAAGUAUGGGGUGAAAUCCCAGGGCUCAACCCUGGAACUGCCUCAUAAACUCCCAGUCUUGAGUUCGAGAGAGGUGAGUGGAACUCCGAGUGUAGAGGUGAAAUUCGUAGAUAUUCGGAAGAACACCAGUGGCGAAGGCGGCUCACUGGCUCGAUACUGACGCUGAGGUGCGAAAGUGUGGGGAGCAAACAGGAUUAGAUACCCUGGUAGUCCACACCGUAAACGAUGAAUGCUAGUCGUCGGGUAGCA